rnacentral:lncRNA from 1 species
CAAACCAUCCUUUAGAAUUCCCACAAAAUUCAUGUAAACCAAGGACGACGGAAUGUUUCCCGAAGAAUAGAGGCCGCAGUAACCGCCAACCCAGUUUAGACCAGUCGACUCUUUUGUUCUGGCAUCUCAAUCGCCAUCCAACAAAUAUGCAAAAGAAGAGCAUUGGAGAAUUUGGAGGCACACAAAGAGAAAGGGGAAAUAAGAGCAAACGCAGUUGAGAAAAAUGCAGUCAGAAUCAGCAAAUACAUAAAGGCAUCUGUGCUUGUGACCAUUCAAUGAUAACAACACUCUAGAGUUUGCGCAGGCCACUACAGAGUAUGGUACAUUCUACAAGGAUAGUUACAAACCUAUCCAAGGGCACAUGCAGCAACUGGGACGACAUCAAAUUGGGUUAGUUCUUGAACACAGAUAGCUUGAAGACAUUUUCGUUAGCUGCCCUCGUCAUGUGUUUAUCUGCGGCAGAAACCGCCCUGUUUCUACAUCAUACAACGUUGGCUGGAACCAGACGACAGAUGUCCACAGGGACCAACUUGUAAAAUGUGAUGUAGAAGGAAGGUUGCUCCCUGUUCUCAC